rnacentral:rRNA from 1 species
UGCCUUCCAUGCAAGUCGAACGGCAGCACGGGUGCUUGCACCUGGUGGCGAGUGGCGAACGGGUGAGUAAUACAUCGGAACAUGUCCUGUAGUGGGGGAUAGCCCGGCGAAAGCCGGAUUAAUACCGCAUACGAUCYACGGAUGAAAGCGGGGGACCUUCGGGCCUCGCGCUAUAGGGUUGGCCGAUGGCUGAUUAGCUAGUUGGUGGGGUAAAGGCCUACCAAGGCGACGAUCAGUAGCUGGUCUGAGAGGACGACCAGCCACACUGGGACUGAGACACGGCCCAGACUCCUACGGGAGGCAGCAGUGGGGAAUUUUGGACAAUGGGCGAAAGCCUGAUCCAGCAAUGCCGCGUGUGUGAAGAAGGCCUUCGGGUUGUAAAGCACUUUUGUCCGGAAAGAAAUCCCUGGCUCUAAUACAGUCGGGGGAUGACGGUUCCGGAAUAAUAAGCACCGGCUUAACUUCGUGCCACAGCCGCGGUAAUACGUAGGGUGCGAGCGU